CACAAGUCACUCAAGUGCCAAUUCGCACGACUAUUAGUAAAGUAAGGUUUUUUUUGGGGAAGGGGAGAUUCGACGAUUUAGUAGCACUGAAUAGAUGAUUUGAAGAUUGAGGGUUUCAAAUCGGUAAGAUUCUUGAAUACAGGCUUUGUGGAUUCGAUGAAAUAUAGCUCCGAUUAUGCGUAGCAGUGGUAUUCAUCCAAAGUAUACUGAUCCAGAUAACUUCACUAUGAAGAUUCACCAUAGGGGGAAUUUUAAAGAGGGAAAAUAUUUGGGUGGUAGGGUACAAUGGAUAGACAACUGUAUUGGGGAUCCUUUUUCAAUGUUGGACAUGUAUGACAUUGCUACAUCACUUAGAUACAACAAGUUAAAAACGUGUUUCCACUAUAGGAGCACAACAAAGGCUUUUCUUCCACUAGAAACAGAUGGCCAUGUACUUGAGUUUGUGCAGAAAAUUCCUCCAUCUAAGGUUUUAGAAUUUAUACCUCUCACAUGCCAGAACCCCGUGUUAAAGAGUCAAGCAUCUGCAUCUACACCUAGAUUUCACUUUGAUGGUUCGCUUCACCCAAAUUUACACCAAGUUGAUGUAGAAGCUGAUGUGAAUACUUCAGAUUGCUGUCAGUAGGGUGAUGGUUAGGAUAAUUUGUGGGAGAAUGAACAUAUCCUUCUGAGUUUGUGGAUGUGGCAGUUAGAAUGAAUGGUUUGAAUGUUGCAGAUGAAGGGACAAGUUUUAGUGUUGUGGUAGACACAUUGGAUGGUGAUGCUUAUGAUGAAUUUGAAGAUAAUGAUGAAGAUCUUAAUGGGAAUUAUGAAGAUGUGGAUGAAGAUAGUGAUGGGAAUUAUGAAGAUGUAGAUGAAGAUAAUGAUGGGAAUUAUGAAAACAAUGAUGAGGAUGUUCAAGAGGAUUUAAUUGCUGAUGCAGAGAAGCGUGCCGAACUGAAGUUUCAGUUCUUAAACUCUGACUAUGAGCAAGAGAAGGCCAACCAAGAAGUAAAUGUAGAUGAUUGUGACUUUGAUAAGUAUGUGGUAUAUGAAGGUGUUGAACCCCCACAUAAAGAGCAUGGUGAAGCAUCUAGUGAUGAGUACCAUUACAAUUUAAAGGAUUUGAGAAGUUUUUCAGAAGAGGAACAACAUGAUGAAGUUGAAGGGGUGAAAAAGUGCAGUGCAAGGCCACAAUGCUGUUGCUGACAUUGUUAUAAGUUAGAUCAAACUGAUUUAUUAAUUAAUUUCAUACAUGGAACUGAUUUAUUUAUUUUCAUACAUGGAAUUGAUUUCAAUUGCUUUCAUUAACUUGUUGACUGUUUUAAGAAUAAAGGGACAAGCUUCUGCUAGAUAAAUGCGAAGAGGAACAAGUAGGCCAAGAAUGGAGCAAGGGGAGUUGCCCCAACAAGUGACGAUGUAAAUGGAGGAGGUGAGCAACAACAACCUCAAAGUUCAACCAAGCCUAAGUGUCAAAGUCACUCAAAGUUUGGUGUAAGAAGAGAAGGAAUUUUCUCCCAAGUGAAUCAAGCUUCUACUUCACAAGGCCCAAGAAUGGCAAGAGGAGCAGCUCCAACAACUAUUGAUGGUGGAGGAGGUCAGCAACAACAACCUCAAAUGUCAAUGCAGCCAAGGAGUCAAAUGAGAACAAAGAUUGGAUUUGACACUAUUUAUGUUGUCAAAUAGGUGAGAAGAGGAGGAUCUGUCUAUCAAGUGCCAAUGCAACCAACUUCAUAUGUUAGUUCACAUUUGAAUCAAGGUGUUGCAUCCCAAGUGAAUCAAGCUUCUCAAGUCACUCAAGCUUCUCAAGUCACUCAAGCUUCCCAAGUAAAUCAAACCUCACUCAGUCAUGACCUCUGGAAAAAAUGUUAGGUACAAGUCUCCAGCCAAAAGGGCAAGGCCAUGGAGAGUUUAGUUGAUAAAUUGAAACGGCAUGACUAUGGAUGGAAUAAAAUUUGGAUGGAUGAAUUUGUUUUUUGUUUUUUUGUAAACCGAUGGAAGGAAUGAAGUUUGGAUGGAUGGAUUUGUUUUUGUAAACAUAUGGCUUGUUUAAUUGUCACUUGGCUUGGAUCAGUUUGAUUUUGUAUGAUUUGUUUAACUGUCACUUGGCUUAUAUAGAUUUGCUUGGUAAACAGAUGCAUUAGGGAUGGAUGGAUUAGUUUUUUUGUAAAUGUAUGGAAUUGACUUUGGAUGGAUUUCUUUUGUAAGACA